GCGCCCUUAGCUCAGUUGGAUAGAGCAACGACCUUCUAAGUCGUGGGCGCAGGUUCGAAUCCUGCAGGGCGCGCCA
rnacentral:tRNA from 1 species